rnacentral:rRNA from 1 species
UGCGUAGGUGGUUUGGUAAGUUAUGUGUGAAAUCCCCGGGCUUAACCUGGGAGGGUCAGAUAAUACUGCUGAACUAGAGUGUGAGAGAGGGUAGUGGAAUUUCCGGUGUAGCGGUGAAAUGCGUAGAGAUCGGAAGGAACACCAGUGGCGAAGGCGGCUACCUGGCUUAACACUGACACUGAGGCACGAAAGCGUGGGGAGCAAACA